UGGCAAUGGGCGCCUCGCUGGAUCAGGAGCACAGCAGACACCCUGCUGGAUCCAGAGGGAUGGAAGUCAGCGGCAGGUCUGGGACAGCCGCAAACAGCAGUGGUGCACGGUAGAACUCAUUGAACACUUGACUCCUGAAUGUUCAGAUCUAUGUUUGAGUUGUUCCGCUAAUCCUAGGAGAGUGAUUAAAGGUCCACAUGUAGUAUAAAAGGACCAAUGUUUAGACUGUUUCUUAGAGCUGAAAAUUCUGGAUUGAAGAGUACAAACAUUUUAAAAUUCUUAUAUACAUGCCAAAUAGAUUUUCAGAAAAUAUGUACCUAUUCUUAUUUACACCGAUAUCUUAUUAAACUGCUUGUCAUUCUCAGCAAAUUUUAGCAUUUUUAUUUUUAAAAUCUUAAUUAAUUGGUGUAUAAAAAUAGUAUCCCAUUAUUGUUUUAAUCCCCACUUUGUUGAUUACUAGUAAGCUUAAACAAUUGUUUAUGCCUGUAUUUUUUAUUUGUAUUUCUU
rnacentral:lncRNA from 1 species